ensembl:lncRNA
ACACACACAUAUAUACAUGACACACACACACACACACACACACACACACACACACACACGCAAAGAUUCCAACACAUGGUACAUGAUAGGCCAGGCGUGGUCACAUGACUCCCCCAACACGUAGUACACGAUUGGCCAGAUGUGCUUGCAUGACUCGGCACGAGGGUCGUGAUUGGCCGGUCAUGCGAGUCAAGAAUUGUAUAAUACUUUUGUUUUUUCUUUUCUUUUUUUUAUUACUACUACCACCCCCAAUUUCUUCCGUGGAAUUGGCCGUUGAUUGUGACCAAAUGCCUUCUCCGUCGCCCCGUAUCGGCCUGGAUGUAAGGAGUCAAAUUUGCUUUUUAGGUUUUUAUUCCUUUUCAUUUGAAUAUUUUCUUUUUGAAUAUUUUUUUAUUUAAAUGUUCACCUGUCGGUACCCAUAACUAUAUGCUCAGGCAACCAUAUCCGAGUCAGUGGAGCAUCCACUCUUUUUGCAAUGACGCACAUGCACAGCCCCCCAGGUCAGGUUCAUAAGGUCGGUCUACGUGUUGUUGUUUUUUUUAUAUAUACAUCUACUAAAACACCAACACAACCACACAAUGACAGUUACCCAGAUUUUGACUCUGAUACGACUGUCUGUCGAAAGCAGCAUUGAUCAAAUGUACCUUCACCUCUCAUCUGUUCUGCUGUUCUGUCUAGAGUUAAUUUGGUCCUUCCUGGUUUCAUUUCUUUUUAAUAACCUGUGCAAAUCCAUCGCUUUAUUUGAGACCCUUUGCAUGUUUCAUGUGUGUGAAUGAGCCUAAAUAGCCUUACCAUCUUCUGACUGUAUUUGUGUUUUUAUAGACGGCGACGUGUUCCCACACGGAUGUUUUAUCAAACCACUUUCCUUUUAGUUUUAUUUCUUUGGUAAAAGUUUUACACAGCGCUUCUUCCAUCGUUCGUAUGCUGGGUUCGGCUGAUGUCAUCGAAUACUUUUGAUCUCUUAAGAUUCUUUGGUGAAAUAUUACUGGGUUGUUGGUGAUUGUUAUUUGUAUACUCUGUACAUAAAGCUGUACGUUGUGUUGUUAGUGAACAUGCCUCACUGUACUGUACUGUGCUCUUACAUGUAUGACCAUGCAUGGCCGCCGCCGGCUCAAGACAACGUUUUCAAUCAUCCAAGUCCGCCAAGGUACAACUGCUGAACCUGUGAAAUCCAAAUGUUCUGAGAAACCGAAAGGCAGGCCUGCUAGCCCUCUACGAGCCUCCUGGACCUCCAUCAGCCUCCUUGAUCACUAGGGACCUGCUGGUCUUCUAGUGGCCUCCUAGUCCCCUAGAUGUCUCCAAGUCCUCUAGGCGUCUCCUAGUCUCCUAGGGGCCUGCUAGUCUACUUUUCUAUCCUGGUGCGAAGAGCCUCAGGUGAAUGCUAGCGUGGUUCUGUUUCUUUUUGAAUGUUGUGCUGAAAAAAAAUAAUCUUACUUUUUCAAUGCUGUAUUCCAUAUUUAAAACUUGAACGGUUAUAACAAGGGGUGGCUUAUUCUGAUAUUGUGUUAGUGGUCUUGGGUCUGUUCCUUUCCACACCUGUUCAGGCUCAGUGGUAUUAUAGGAGUAUGUCGUUUUUUGAAAUGUAAACACCCUCUUUUUACGCAAAACACAUGCAUCAUGGUUGUUCAUGUUAGCUCCAUUGUUUCUCAUUUUUUACAUGCUUUUGGAAGAAAAUAAAAAAAAUGCUGGUGUCGACCGACUCCUGAUGUCUGAUGCCAACUUGGAAAUAUUUAGUUCAUAAUCAGCAGAUAAAGAGGUGGUGCCUGAGCACAUUUAGAUUUAUUUUUAGUCAUGUAACCUGUAUAUUCUACAUAUUUCCAAAUAAACGAUGGUGCACAAUGGACAUUUGAAAGAGGUUAGUAGGAUGAUCAAGUUGUGUUCAUGAUAUGACGCCCUCAAAAGCAUGAGGGCGCUAUGAUUGCACACUGUUAUUUGAUCAAAUAAAUUCCCGUACUUGUUAAUUAAUUAAGCAUCUAUAUGUCGACAAACUUUGUCGUCUGGUUUAAAACUAAAUUAUUUUGUCUUUACAUCUACAAUGUACCCAUAUGGUUAAGAGUGUGACGUCAAAUGGCAAUAUCUACACUGUCAGAGCCUAAAUGGAUAAGCAUGCUGAG